AUGCGAUAAGUAAUGUGAAUUGCAGAAUUCAGUGAAUCAUCGAAUCUUUGAACGCACCUUGCGCUCUUUGGUAUUCCGAAGAGCAUGCCUGUUUGAGUGUCAUUAAAUUCUCAACCUCACCAGUUUUCUGAGGAGGCUUGGAUGUGGGGGUUUGUGCAGGCUGCCGCAGCGCGGUCUGCUCCCCUAAAAUGCAUUAGCGAGUUCAUACUGAGCUCCGUCUAUUGGUGUGAUAAUUAUCUACGCCGUGGAUUGGGCUUAGACUUGCUUCUAACCGUCCGCAAGGACAACUACUUGACAAUUUGACCUCAAAUCAGGUAGGACUACCCGCUGAACUUAA
rnacentral:misc_RNA from 1 species